AGACACACCUGGCAGAAUGCCAGUCCCUCACACGGCAUAGGGCAGAAGACACACCUGGCAGAAUGCCAGUCCCUCACACGGCAUAGGGCAGAAGACAUACCUGGCAGAAUGCCAGUCCCUCACACGGCAUAGGGCAGGGGACAUACCUGUCGGAAUGCCAGUCCCUCACACAGCACACAUCAUUAUAGGCAAUUUAAAAACACCCAUUCACUUACUUGUGGAUUUUUAGAUUUUUGAGUAAUGUUUUAAUUGACGGGGUACAAAUAUUUAGUAAUAACUCAGUUACUACUGAAGUACAAAUCAUGAACAAAUAUAGUCACUACUUGAGAUAAAAGAUCCAUCAUGAUUCAUUAUUGAUGAACAAACAUGAUAUUAGUAUUUCAUUACUUGUUCCUUCAGUAGUUCUCAGAGGUUUACAGACUUAACAGAUAUAUUAACAAAUAUAAUAACUGCUGGGGUUAAAAGAUGUAUCAUGAUUCAUUCAUGGCAAACAAACAUGAGAUCAUUAUGUAACUACACCUUAGUUUAUGGUUAAUUAAUACUUAAGUAAUAGCAUAAUACUAUAUUACUUAUGCCCCGUCAAGUAAAGUGUUACUGUUUUUGUUAUAAAGCCUGCUGAGACUGCAGCCUCUCUGAAGAUGUGUUAUUCUCCAUUCUCUGUCCUUUGUUGCCGUACACCCCUCAUAUAAAACUUAAAUGCAUCCUGGUGUCAUUCCAGCCUUGUCUCCCUCUAAUUGUUCAUUAAGCAUUCCUAAUUGGUUUCAUUCCAUUACAGGGAAAAGCCUAACAAGAAGCUCAUCAUGCCCCGGGUUAUACAAACCAUGCUCUCUCCGAAAGAAUGCAGACACAUUCAUUCUGUUCCAUCAGUUAUAACAGUUAUAAGCUAGGAUGUGGUGACAUCCAUGUAGAAUAGAGCAGAGGACAGCCGAGGACUCACUGACUGCUGCUGGACUGCAGUAAUCAGAAUCAGAAUCAGGUUUAUUAUCCAAGUGUGUGUGUGGCACUUGGUGUCUCUGGUACAUUACAAUACAAUAGAUCAAACCAGUACAGAUUAAAUACAGUAUAAAGGGCAUAUUAUUUACAGACAGAACAAUGUACAAAAAGUGCAAACAACAUACAAGGUGCAAAGUAUAAGGUAUGUCUUAGCUUCAGUUCAGUGGCGUGUUGUGAGUGGAGCAGGGUGUAGCAGUCAGGGAAACAGGUGUAGAUUGGUGUUGCAGGUCAGAUGUUUGUAAGGGUGAUGGCUUAAGGGAAGAAACUGUUCCUGUGGCAACUGGUCCUGGUCUGCAGACUUCUGAAUCAUCUGCCAGAGGGGAGGAGUUCAAAGAGACAGUGUCCAGGGUGUGAUGUGUCAGUGAGGAUUUUCCCUGCCCUUUUCUUGGUUCUUGAAGUGUACAAGUCCUGGAGAGAAUGAUUCGUUCUGCUGUCCUAACUGUCCGUUGCGGUCUGUUCCUGUCCUGUUUGGUUGCUCCAAACCAGACUGUGAUGGAGGAGCACAGGACAGACUUGAUGACUGCUGGGUAGAACUGGAUCAGCAGUUCCUGUGGGAGAUCAUACGUCCUCAGUUGUCGCAGGAAGUAUAUUCUCUACUGUGCCUUUUUGAGGAUGGAGGAGAUGUUGCUCUCCCACUUCAGGUCUUUGGAAAUGAUAGUACCUAAGAACUUGAAGGUCUCCACAGGUGACACAAGGGUGCUGUGUAUGGUGAGGGGGACCAGUGCUGAGGCGUAUUUCCAAAAGUCCACUGUCAUCUCCACAGUCUUGAGCGUGUUCAGCUCCAGGUUGUUCUGGCUGCACCAAAGUACCAGUCACUCGACUUCCCACUGUUAUGCAGACUUGUUGCCAUCUUGGAUCAGUCCGAUGACUGUGGUGUCGUCCGCAAUCUUCAGAAGUUUCACAGCUGGGUCCAUGGAGGUGCAGUCGUUAGUGUAAAGGGAGAAGAGCAGGUGGGAUAGAACACAAGCCUGAGGAGCACAAGUGCUGAUGGUCCGUACAUCAGAGGUGAUCUCCCCCACCCUCACUUGCUGUUCCCUGCCAUUCAGGAAGCUGGUGAUCCACUGACAGAUAGCAGGAGAUACAUUUAGCUGGGAAAGGUUGGAAGAGGUGAUUUCUGGGACAAUGGUGUUGAACACCGAAUUAAAGUCCACAAAACUGGAUCCUUGCAUAAGUCCCUCGGUCGAGGUGUUGCAGGAUGUAAUGCAGUCCCAUGUUCACUGCAUCAUCCACUGACCUGUUUGCCCAAUAGGCAAACUGCAGGGGGUCCAGCAGGUGUCCUGUGACGUUCUUCAGAUGGGCCAACACCAGAUGUUCAAAGGACUUCAUGACCACCGAUGUCAGAGCGACAGGUCUGUACUCAUUCAGUACAGUGAUGGAGGGUUUCUUGGGGAUGGGGAUUAUGGUGGAGUGUUUGAUGCAGGUGGGAACUUUACACAGCUCCUGGGAUCUGUUGAAGAUCUGAGUGAAGACUGGAGCCAGCUGGUCAGCAUAGGUUUUGAGGCAGGAGAGGGAAAUCACAUCCUCCUCGGUGUGAUGGUUCCCAUUGUCGUUGGGCUGGAGUGGGUGAGGGGUGUGAAUAUGUCACUCUCAAACCUGCAAUAGUAGUUGCUGAGGUUUUUGUUUGCCCCAGCAGGGGGGGGUGGUCUUCUGUAAUUAGUGAUGUCUUGCAGGCCUCUCCACACUGAAACUUAUUUUUUAGCUUUUCAGAGUAGCUUCUUUUAGCGACUCUGAUCUCCUUGGUGAGCGUGUUCUGGCCUGCCUAUACAGAGCCCUGUCCCCACUUCUGUAGGCAUCUUCCCUCCCUAGGUCACCUGGCAGGGUUUACCUAAGAGCAGGACUCAGAGCAGCCCAGUGCUGUGGCUGUGAUUCGUAACUGAAGCAGGGAUGUUAGGAAGCUGUGGUGCAGGGUUGCUGGAGCAGCAGCUAGCACAGCCAUUAAGGACACAGACGUGUUGCUGAAGCCCCAUCUGUAGUGUUCUAGAGCAAAGUACUUAACUAGGAUUAUUCUAUGAAAAUGGACACUCUGGAUUAAAGUGUUGGCUAAAAGACAAUAUGUGACAUACAUCUGCCUGAUCCAGGCACCUACACUGGGGAUGGACAGGACUGUAGACAGCCAGAGGAAAAUAGAAGUUGAUAUGGAGGUAGAUUUAUGCAUAACUCAUAGUUUGGUUUACGGAAUGGUCUGGUUCAUGUUGUAUAGAUAUUGCAUGAUAUGUGGUAUCUGCAGCAAGGUCCCUAAAAUUGCCCCCCAUGUGAAGGAACUUGAUGGCAUCAGCCAGAGACUCAUUUACAGUAACAUGUUAAGCAUUAAAUGGUCAAUCUUACAAAUAACACUACAACAUUUAUCCAUCUUCUAACUGUUUAUCCUGGUCUUUUUUCGUGCGCAUUUCUUGGGAGGUUGAUAGUAAUUCCAUUAACUGUAUAUAACACUGCAUACAGUAGAAUUAUGGGUCUAGGAAUAUUUUUGUACCAUACUGAAUGGCCAUGUUUGGAUUUUCUAUGUAAAAAGACAUUACUCAGGGAUUUUGGCCUAACAAUAUUUUUGUACCAUUUUUUAUCAUGUUAAAAGAUAUUACUCUUAGUGAUUUAGGCCUGCACAGAGGUAACUACUAUUACACAGCAGACCUGUAAACACAGGUCUGCAGCUAACACGGUUAAUGUUAGGCACAGUAGAAAAGUUGGCCAUCUCUCAAUUCUUAAAUGAAUUCUUGUAACAUAUUUUUAAAAUAAUUUGUAGAUUAUAUCUGGCUGUGAUUUUAUAUGUCAAAACUGCACUUUGAUGUUUUCAUGUUAUUGUCCUGUUUCAGCUGUAAUAUGAUGAAUGCAGUGUCAGCCUGAAAUUAAAAUUUGUUUUCAGUUUGUUAAUUUUAGAAAAAAAAAUGUUACCUAUCAAAUAAACUCGUACGUGAUUUUGACUGGACGGUUUCAUUGAAUUCUGUCAAUAAUGUGACAUUUUGUUAGUCUUCGGGCUUCCCGAUAAUCAACAUGAUAAUUUGCGUGUCUGCAUGAUUUCAUAUUGAUAUACAAUUUUCAUAUGUAUUAUAGCACCGCACCCUUAAGUGCUUUAUUGACACAAAGCACUUAAGCUGUGAUAUGGGUACUCUGCCAUCUCGAUCUUCUGUCUACAGAAACCACGUUCAUUUUGUCAUUUGAUCUUUGAGGUGCUGGACAGCCACCAGAUCAGUGCUGCAUAGCUACAGACGUGGAAAAAAACAAAGCAAAGAUAUCAAAGAGUGUAACUGAUACUAAGGGAGGACUGACAAGAGAUCAAUAAACAAGAAAAAAAAUAGGAACCACAAACGCUACAACGGAAAGGAGCAUCUAGACGCUAGAAAACAAGAGGGCGUCACUCAGAGUGUGGACAACAACGAUGAAGAUGCAACUCCAGCUCCCCCUGCAGACGUAAUGUGAAAAUUACACGGGAUUGCGGGCAUUGUUCAGAAGUUGUGACGGUGCCGAGUAUGAAGCUAAUUGUCGCAUUAUAGGGCAGCCCAAUGAGAAGAGGGCUGCAGUCACUCAUCUCCUACUUGGAGGAGUCCAAUUCAGAGCAGAUGCCCAAGUAAUUCAGUCACCAUCUCCAGAAGACCAAGCUGCUGGGUGACGUGGAGCUGCAGGACAGAGAAUCACAGAAAAACUGUCCUUAUGUCCACAGUGAUGGAUCUAAGCUGCACUGGCUUGCAUAAGUUGGAUCAGUGAAUUGAUCCAUGUGAUACCAGAGAGGAAAGAUGGAACAAGGACUUUAUAUUUGAAAAAGUAUUUUACAAUAUGAGGAAUAAAAUGAAUAAAAAGGAGAAGAAGCAGAAAAACAAGGUAGACAUUGAGUUUGGAGAAAGUGGAAUAUGUAGCCAGAGAUGACAGCACAACCUUUUUGUACUGUGGGGGAGGGAGUGCCAUAAAAGCUUCUCCUGUAGCUCAAUAAACAGAGAGUUAUAGUAAUAAUCUAAGCAUCAUGGGUUUGUAUCCCAGGGAGCACACACACACUUUUUCUGUCAGUCAUAAAUCAUUUUGGCUCAAAGCAAAAAAUAAAACAAACUUAUGAUUUGA